rnacentral:misc_RNA from 1 species
AAGUCGUAACAAGGUAACCGUAGGUGAACCUGCGGUUGGAUCAUUAAUAAUGAUAGUUGUUGGAUAGCGGGGCAUUCAAACAAGGAUUUUGUAUUUUUCAAUGUUCUUUCUUGCCACCUUUCCAACGGCUAAACACCUUUGUGCACCAUAAUUGUAUUUGGGUUGGUCUUUAGUACCAACCCGCCUAUUAACUUCUAUUAUUUUGCCUGACUUUUGUUUCUAUGAAUCAAAAACAACUUUUAACAACGGAUCUCUUGGCUCUC